AAUGAACGCUGGCGGCAGGCCUAACACAUGCAAGUCGAACGGAUCCUUCGGGAUUAGUGGCGGACGGGUGAGUAACGCGUGGGAACGUGCCCUUUGGUUCGGAAUAGCCUCGGGAAACUGGGAGUAAUACCGGAUAAGCCCUUCGGGGGAAAGAUUUAUCGCCAAAGGAUCGGCCCGCGUUGGAUUAGGUAGUUGGUGGGGUAAUGGCCUACCAAGCCGACGAUCAAUAGCUGGUUUGAGAGGAUGAUCAGCCACACUGGGACUGAGACACGGCCCAGACUCCUACGGGAGGCAGCAGUGGGGAAUCUUAGACAAUAGGGGAAACCCUGAUCUAGCCAUGCCGCGUGAUCGAUGAAGGCCUUAGGGUUGUAAAGAUCUUUCAGUUGGGAAGAUAAUGACGGUACCAACAGAAGAAGCCCCGGCUAACUCCGUGCCAGCAGCCGCCGUAAGAC
rnacentral:rRNA from 1 species